rnacentral:rRNA from 1 species
GAUGAACGCUGGCGGUGUGCCUAAUACAUGCAAGUCGAGCGAACAGACGAGGAGCUUACUCCUCUGACGUUAGCGGCGGACGGGUGAGUAACACGUGGAUAACCUACCUAUAAGACUGGGAUAACUUCGGGAAACCGGAGCUAAUACCGGAUAACAUGUUGAACCGCAUGGUUCAACAGUGAAAGACGGUCUUGCUGUCACUUAUAGAUGGAUCCGCGUCGCAUUAGCUAGUUGGUAAGGUAACGGCUUACCAAGGCAACGAUGCGUAGCCGACCUGAGAGGGUGAUCGGCCACACUGGAACUGAGACACGGUACAGACUCCUACGGGAGGCAGCAGUAGGGAAUCUUCCGCAAUGGGCGAAAGCCUGACGGAGCAACGCCGCGUGAGUGAAGAAGGUCUUCGGAUCGUAAAACUCUGUUAUUAGGGAAGAACAAAUGUGUAAGUAACUAUGCACGUCUUGACGGUACCUAAUCAGAAAGCCACGGCUAACUACGUG